rnacentral:rRNA from 1 species
GGUCCGAACCCACGAGCGUUGAAAAGCUCGGGGAUGACUUGUGGGUAGCGGUGAAAUUCCAAUCGAGCCCGGAGAUAGCUGGUUCUCCCCGAAAUAGCUUUAGGGCUAGCCUCAAGGUGAGAGAUACGGAGGUAGAGCACUGAAUGUCCUAGGGGGUAUUGCACCUACCGAAGACUAUCAAACUCCGAAUGCCGUCAUCUUAUACUUGGGAGUCAGACUGUGGGUGAUAAGAUUCAUAGUCGAAAGGGCAACAGCCCAGAUCGUCAGCUAAGGUCCCUAAAUGUAAGUUAAGUGGUAAAGGAUGUGGGAUUGCACAGACAACCAGGAUGUUGGCUUAGAAGCAGCCACUCAUUCAAAGAGUGCGUAAUAGCUCACUGGUCGAGUGAUCCUGCGCCGACGAUUUCCGGGGCUAAAACUUACUACCGAAGCUACGGCAUCAGUAAUGAUGGGUAGGGGAGCUUCCCAUACGGGUUGAAGCAUGACCGUAAGGACAUGUGGACAGUAUGGGAGUGAGAAUGUUGGCAUGAGUAGCGAGAUGUGGGUGAGAAUCCCACAGGCCGUAAACCCAAGGUUUCCAGGGGAAGGUUCGUCCGCCCUGGGUUAGUCGGGACCUAAGCUGAGGCCGAAAGGCGUAGGUGAUGGACAACAGGUUGAUAUUCCUGUACUACCGAUAACCGGUUGAGAGAAGGGAUGACACAGUAGGAUAAGCUAAGCACACUGUUGGUUAUGUGUGCCCAAGCAUUGAGGCAGUCAAAGUAGGCAAAUCCGCUUUGAUAAUGCUGGGAUGUGAUGGGGAGCGAAAUUUAGUAGCGAA